rnacentral:rRNA from 1 species
CAUGUAGGCGGGAAUACAAGUCAGAUGUGAAAUACUGCGGCUUAACUGCAGUCCUGCAUCUGAAACUGUAUUUCUUGAGUACUGGAGAGGAAAGCGGAAUUCCUAGUGUAGCGGUGAAAUGCGUAGAUAUUAGGAGGAACACCGGUGGCGAAGGCGGCUUUCUGGACAGUUACUGACGCUGAGAUGCGAAAGCGUGGGGAGCAAACAGGAUUAGAUACCCUGGUAGUCC